rnacentral:rRNA from 1 species
GUGCAGCAGGCGAGAAACCUCCGCAAUACACGAAAGUGUGACGGGGUUACCCAAAGUGUCCAAAUUUGGACUGUGGUAGGUGAGUAAUGUCCCCUACUAGAAAGGAGAGGGCAAGGCUGGUGCCAGCCGCCGCGGUAAAACCAGCUCUUCAAGUGGUCGGGAUAAUUAUUGGGCUUAAAGUGUCCGUAGCCGGUUUAGUAAGUUCCUGGUAAAAUCGGGUAGCUUAACUAUCUGUAUGCUAGGAAUACUGCUAUACUAGAGGGCGGGAGAGGUCUGAGGUACUACAGGGGUAGGGGUGAAAUCCUGUAAUCCUUGUAGGACCACCAGUGGCGAAGGCGUCAGACUGGAACGCGCCUGACGGUGAGGGACGAAAGCCAGGGGAGCGAACCGGAUUAGAUACCCG